GAUGAACGCUAGCGAUAGGCUUAACACAUGCAAGUCGAGGGGCAGCAUGGUCUUAGCUUGCUAAGACUGAUGGCGACCGGCGCACGGGUGCGUAACGCGUAUGCAACUUGCCUCACAGAGGGGGAGAACCCGUCGAAAGACGGACUAAUACCGCGUACACUCCAUCUUGGGCAUCCAAGGUAGAGGAAAUGAAAUUCGCUGUGAGAUAGGCAUGCGUCCCAUUAGCUAGUUGGUGAGGUAACGGCUCACCAAGGCGACGAUGGGUAGGGGAACUGAGAGGUUGAACCCCCACACUGGUACUGAGACACGGACCAGACUGCUACGGGAGGCAGCAGUGAGGAAUAGUGGACAAUGGGCGAGAGCCUGAACCAGCCAAGUCGCGUGAAGGAUGACUGUCUAUGGAUUGUAAACUUCUUUUAUACGGGAAUAACAAGAGUCACGGGUGACUCCAUGCAUGUGCCGUAUGAAUAAGCAACGGCUAACUCCGUG
rnacentral:rRNA from 1 species